GGGGCUCUUCCUAAGUUUCUGAUGUAUAUGCCAAUAGGGGUGAUGAGCAAAGACCAAGAAGGUAGAAUACUAGAGGCUCUGUCAGAAAUAGUGGUAUUCCUCACUGUCCAGGCUCUUUCUACCUGAAUUAGGUUUUGGAUAUUUGAAUUUGGAUUACUGUUUUAGAGAAUAAUCCUUACACCCUGGGAUUCUGAAAUUUUGGUGUUUAUUAUCUAAAACUCAGACAUAAAGUAGAUUCAUAUGUGGUUAUCUUUGCUAUUUGAACUUCCAGCCAAAUUCAGGGAUUGACUACAUUAAGACUGUUAUAUACUAUUACUAUAUUUUGAGUAAGGAAAAUUAUGUUAGGGUGAAGGCUAUGCUGCUAUAGAGAGACUCAGAAAUUUAGUGAUAUAACAGUUGUCAGGUGAGUGGUCCGUAUCAGUGGAGUAGAAUCAUCUGUCUUUUAGUCAUUUAGGAACCCAGAUUACUUCCAUCUUGUUCCUGUACCCAUCCCAGGACAUCAGGGUAUUGUCUCAUGUGCAUGGAACGCAACAGACCAUUUUCUCACUUUUAUCAUUAGUUACAUCAGCUGCAAUGUGAGCAAAAGAUCCGAAAUCUGUCAUCCCAGCUGCAAACUGGAAGAGACCUGGCAGAUGAAGUGAUUGUCAGUUACUCUCAUCCUCAUGUCAGGUUACUUCGCCAAAGGAUUGAUCAGCUGGAAAAUUCAGUCUGUAGGCUGUUAAAGAAGCAGGCUUUCAGGCCCCAGCUGCCAGCCUAUGAAUCCUUGGUACAGGAAAUCCACCACUAUGUCACCAGCAUUGCCAAGGCUGACAGUGUUCAGGAUUUGCUCUCAAGGCUCCUGCAGGCUCUCCUUACAGAUGGGAUGCGAUCUUCCCAGGUGGCCCAGAGCCUUCUGAAAGAGGAGGCUUCUUGGCAGCAGUCACACCACCAGUUCAGAAAGCGAUUAGGGGAGGAGUAUGCCCUGUAUCCAGACAUCGUGACCCCACUACAGGCAUCCAUCUUGCAGUUACAGCAUGGUAUGAGACUUGUGGCAUCUGAAGUCCACACCGCAUCCCAUAGCAGUGUGAUUACAGAUAGGCUCGGGGCCUUGGCCACAGCUUUGUUGGCUUUUCCAUCAGUGGGCCCUACUUUCCCCACCUACUACGCUCAUGCGGAUGCUUUGUGUUUGGUGAAGUCAGAGGAGGUUCUUCGAGGCCUUGGGAAGCUGAUCAUCAAACGUUUGGGAGUAAAGGAGCCAGAAGGCAAAGGCCAGCAACCUUGCCCCACCCGGGAACAGCUGCUAAUGAACGCACUCCUUUACCUGCACUCCCAUGUGCUGUGCAAGGGUGAGCUAGACCAGAGGGCCCUGCUGCUCUUCAGACAUGUGUGUCAGGAGAUCAUCAAUGAGUGGGAUGAACAGGAACGUGUAGCCCAAGAGAAGGUGGAGCAGGAAAGCAGCCUGUACAGAUACAAGAGCAGGAGCUCCAGGACAGCCUUGAGUGAGGAGGAGGAGGAAGAACGGGAAUUCAGAAAACAGUUUCCACUGCACGAAAAGGACUUUGCAGAUAUUUUGGUAGAACCAGUACUAGAAGAGACAAAAGGAACUUCAGAUGGUCAAGAAGAAGCAGCCACAGACCCAGCUCUCCUCUCCCAAAGUUCAAUGCAAGCAGUGAUGCGGAUACACCAGCAGUUGUGCCUCAACUUUGCUCGGUCCCUGUGGUACCAGCAGCAGACUGUGCCAUCACAUGAGACAAAGGACUACCUCAGCCUGUUUCUGUCUUGCUAUCAGACUGGGGCAUCUCUUGUGACACAUUUCUACCCCCUGAUGGGUGUUGAACUGAAUGACCAAUUCUUAGGCAGCCAACUUUUAGCCUGCACCAUCUCCCACAACACACUCUGUGGGGAAGCAACAUCAGACCUGAUGGUGACGCCCACCGGGCCCUAUGAUUUCUACCAGCACCCCAAUGUGCCAGAAGCACGACAGUGUCAACCUGUGCUUCAGGGUUUCUCAGAGGCUGUCAGUCAAUUGCUGCAGGAUUGGCCGGAACACCCUGCUCUUGAGCAGCUACUGGUUGUAAUGGACAGAAUUCGUAGUUUCCCACUUUCCAGUCCCAUCUCAAAGUUCCUGAAUGGCUUAGAGAUCCUUCUGGCAAAAGCACAGGAUUGGGAGGAGAACGCAAGUCGAGCCUUGUCCCUGCGCAAACAUAUCAAUUUGGUCAGUCAGAUGAUCAUUCGUUGGCGCAAACUGGAGCUGAACUGCUGGUCCAUGAGUUUAGAUAAUACCAUGAAACGCCACACUGAAAAAUCCACCAAGCACUGGUUCUCCAUCUAUCAGAUGCUUGAAAAGCACAUGCAGGAACAAACAGAGGAUCAUGAAGAUGACAAACAGAUGACCCUGAUGUUGCUGGUUAGCACGCUACAAGCAUUUAUUGAAGGAUCCUCUCUGGGAGAAUUCCAUGUGCGACUUCAGAUGUUACUGGUUUUCCAUUGUCAUGUUUUGCUAAUGCCACAAGUUGAAGGAAAGGAUUCACUUUGCAGUGUUCUGUGGAAUUUGUACCAUUAUUACGAGCAGUUCUUUGACCGAGUCCAGGUCAAAAUUGUGGAACUUCGGUCCCCCCUGGAAAAAGAACUUAAAGAAUUUGUUAAGAUAUCGAGGUGGAAUGAUGUCAGCUUCUGGUCCAUUAAACAAUCUGUGGAAAAGACACAUAGGACCCUUUUUAAAUUCAUGAAGAAAUUUGAAGCUGUUCUAAGUGAGCCCUGCCGGUCAUGCUUGGUGGAGAGUGACAAGGAAGAACAGCCUGACUUUUUGCCCAGGCCAGCAGAUGAAGCCAUGAGUGAGACAUCUCCCAUUCAGUGUCUGAAUAGAGCACUGAGGGAGACCUUGUUAGUCUGGCCACCAGCUAGGCAGGUCACAAUUCCAGAACAGUGUCCAAGUGCUACUCCUUUCUCUAUGGAAGGGGAGCUUCUGCGUCGCUUGCCAAAGCUCACAAAACGAAUGAGGAAGAUGUGCCUUUCAUUCAUGAAGGAGAGCCCUUUGCCUCACCUAGUGGAGGGCCUUGAUCAGUUCGCUGGUGAAAUGAUUUCCUCUGUAAGUGAGCUUCAGAGCCUAAAGGUGGAGCCAUCUGCAGAGAAAGAGAAGCAGAGGUCAGAAGCCAAGCACAUUCUCAUGCAGAAGCAGCGAGCUUUAUCAGACCUCUUUAAACACCUUACAAAAACUGGUUUGUCAUACCGCAAAGGUCUCGCCUGGGCCCAUUCAAAAAAUCUGCAGGAGUUGCUUCAUCUUCACCCAUUAGAUCUCCGGAGAGCACUGUCCAUAGUCAGCGGCACUCAAGAGGCUGAUUCCAGGCUGCUUGCAGAAAUUUCAUCUUCGUGGGAUGGAUGCCAGAAGUAUUUUUAUCGCUCUCUUGCACGGCACACCAGGCUUACUGCAGCCCUAGCAACUCCUGCCAAGGAGAUGGGCGUGGGGAACAUUGAGAGGUGUAAAGGGUUCUCAGCACAUUUGAUGAAGAUACUCAUCCAACAGCGACGCUCCUUGACAACACUGACGGAGCAGUGGAUCAUCCUCAGGAACCUUCUCAGCUGUGUGCAGGAGAUCCACAGCAGGCUGACAGGGCCCCCUGUCUACCCUGUGGCCUUCCCACCUCAGGACAGUAUGCAGCAGUGGACAGAGCGGCUACAGCAUGUGGCCAUGCAGAGCCAGAUCCUGCUUGAGCAGCUUUCCUGGUUCUUCCAGUGCUGUCCCAGUGCAGGGCUGGCGCCAGGCCAUGAUCAAGCUUCAGUGCAGGGUCAGCCUUCUGCCUCCCACCUGGAAAGACUGGAACUCACCAAGGGACAGCUGUCUGGAGCAGUGCCAGACAUAAUUCCCUCUGAUGUGGGGUACCCAUCCCCAGUACCUAGAAUUCAACUGCCUUCUGGUUGCCGGAUGCGUAAACAGGACCAGCUUUGGCAAGAGUCGACUGCCAGGAUAACAGAGAUGCUGAAAACCAUUAAAACAGUGAAAGCUGAUGUCGACAAAAUUAGGCAGCAGUCUUGUGAGACUCUCUUUCAUUCUUGGAAAGAUUUUGAAGUUUGCUCUUCUGGGCUCAGUUGCCUGUCCCAGGUGUCAGCUCAUUUGCAAGGCCUAGAGUCCUUGUUCAUUGUUCCAGGAAUGGAGGCUGAGCAAACAGACCCACAAAUGGCAUUAGUUGAAAGCCUGGAAUAUGUAAAAGGGGAAAUUGAUAAAGCCACGGAUGACUUUACUACUUGGAAAACACAUCUACUCACUUCAAACAGCCAAGGAGCAGGAAACCAAAUGUUGGAUGAAAGCUUAGUGGAAGAUUUUUCAGAGCAAAUGGAAACUGCCAUCCAGGCCAUCCUUUGUGCUGUCCAGAACUUAGCAGAAAGAAACAGUAAAAAAGCAGAGGAGAGCACUGACCAAAAAAGACCACAAGAAGAGGAGGCGGGAGCAGGCUUUGAGAGACUACAACCAGGACAUCUAACAAAACUCUUAGAGGAUGACUUCUGGGCUGACGUGAGCACUUUGCAUGUGCAGAAAAUAAUUUCUACUAUCUCUGAGCUAUUGGAGAGAAUAAAAUCAUAUGGAGAAGAUGGCACAGCGUCAAAGCACAUGCUCUUCAGCCAGUCCUGCAGCCUGCUGGUGCGCCUGGUGCCCAUGCUUUGCAGCUUCUCAGACCUUGUCCUCUUCUUCUUGACCAUGUCAUUGGCAACUCACCGGAACACUGCAAAGCUGCUUUCUGUGCUUGCCCAGGUCUUUACAGAGCUUGCCCAGAAGGGAUUUUGCUUGCCCAAAGAAUUUAUGAAAGAUUCAUCAGGAGAUGGAGCAACUGAAUUCCAUGACUAUGAGGGAGGUGGAAUUGGAGAAGGCGAGGGCAUGAAGGAUGUGAGUGAUAAGAUAGAAAGUGAAGAGCAGGUAGAAGAUUCAUUUCAGAAGGGACAAGAAAAGGACAAUGAAGAGCCUGACUCAAAAUCUGAUAUUAAGGGCGAAGAUAACGCCAUUGAGAUGUCAGAGGACUUUGAUGGGAAAAUGCAUGAUGGGGUGCUUGAAGAACAAGAAGAGGAGGAUGAUAAAUCAGAUAGUGAGGGCAAAGAACUGGAUAAACAGAUGGGCGAUCUCAAUGGUGAGGAAGCUGACAAACUAGAUGAGAGGCUUUGGGGUGAUGACGAUGAAGACGAUGAUGAUGAUGAAGAGGACAAUAAAACUGAAGAAACUGGACCAGGAAUGGAUGAGGAAGAUUCUGAACUUGUUGCUAAAGAUGACAACUUGGAUGCUGGGAAUUUGGACAAAGAUAAAAACCAGCAAAAUAAGAAAGAAGAAAAAGCAGAAUCCGAUGAUGGUGGACAAAGCCAAGACAAAAUUAAUGAACAAAUAGAUGAGAGAGAGUAUGAUGAGAAUGAGGUGGACCCUUACCAUGGCAAUCAGGAAAAGCUUCCAGAACCAGAGGCCUUGGACCUUCCAGAUAACUUGGACCUUGACAGUGAAGACAAGAAUGGGGGUGAGGACACAGACAAUGAGGAAGGAGAAGAAGAAAAUCCAUUGGAGAUCAAAGAAAAAUCAGUAGAUACAGAAGAAGCAGACCAUGAAACUGAGGAAAUGAACGAAGAGACUGAGGCUGACCAGAGUGAAGGUGAAGGUGCACCUGCACCUGAGGAAAACCCCAGUGGGGAUGACAAUGUGGAAAGGGAGGAGGAGAUGGACACAGGAGCUGAUGACCAGGACACAGAUAGUGCCGAACACCCUGAAGAAAACUCAGAGAAGCAGCAGCAGUCUCUGGAAGAAGAGCACAGGGAAGACACCAAGGAAGGGGGAGAAAAGAGCAUUCCUCUUGAUCAAAGUCUGCAGUCCCAGGAAGGAGGAGGAGAGAAAUCUGAUACAGAAGAGCAGGAGCCAGAAGCUGCUGAGAGGAAGGAACACGCGUCCUGUGGGCAGACUGGUGUGGAGAAUGUGCAGAGCACACAGGCUGUGGAGCUGGCUGGGGCUGCACCUGAGAAGGAGCAGGGGAAAGAGGAACACGGAAGUGGAACCGCAGACGCAAACCAGGCAGAAGGCCACGAAUCCAACUUGAUUGCCCGGUUGGCCUCCCAAAAACACACCAGAAAAAAUACACAGAGUUUUAAGAGGAAACCUGGGCAGGCUGACAAUGAGCGCUCAGUGGGUGAUUACAAUGAGCAUGUGCAUAAGAGGCUGAAGACUGUGGAUAACGACAGCCAGGCUGAACAGGGGCCAUCAGAGCCCCGCACCCAGGUGGAAGAUUCGGAUGCAUUUGAGCACAUUAAACAAGGCAGCGAUACAUACGACGCACAGACCUAUGAUGUGGCCAGCAAAGAGCAACAACAUACUGCAAAAGAGUCCAGCAGGGAUCAGGAAGAGGAGGAGACAGAGGAUGCCCUCAUGGAUUUGGAGGAGCAGGAAGAACUUAGAACAGUAGACACGGAGCAGCUGAAGCCAGACGAAGUCAAGUCAGGAAACAUGGCAGCUCCCAGCUUUGAUGAGAUGGAGAUGGAGACCCACACUGUUAAAACAGCAGAGGAGCAAGAAGACCUCAAGACAGACAGAUCCCACAAGGAGACAAUAGAUAAGAAACCAGAAAGAAGCCAAGAUUCAACCAUUCAUACGGCCCAUCAGCUUCUAGUGGAUACAAUUUUCCAGCCCUUUUUAAAAGAUGUCAGUGAGCUAAGGCAGGAGAUGGAGAGACAGCUGGAAACCUGGCAGCUGCAUGAAUCUGGAAAUGCAGAAGAGAAGGCUGCAGCUGAGAUGUGGCAGAGAUACUUGAUCUUAACUGCACCUCUUUCACAACAGUUAUGUGAGCAACUUCGUCUCAUAUUAGAGCCCACCCAGGCAGCCAAGUUGAAAGGAGACUAUCGAACAGGGAAGCGACUGAACAUGCGGAAGGUCAUUCCCUACAUUGCCAGUCAGUUUCGGAAAGACAAGAUUUGGCUGCGAAGGACCAAGCCCAGUAAACGCCAAUAUCAGAUUUGUUUGGCUAUUGAUGACUCUUCUAGUAUGGUGGACAACCAUACCAAACAGCUUGCAUUUGAGUCACUGGCUGUGAUUGGAAAUGCUCUAACCCUCCUGGAAGUGGGUCAGAUUGCUGUAUGCAGUUUUGGAGAGUCAGUGAAGCUGUUACACCCAUUCCAUGAGCAGUUCAGUGAUUACUCGGGGACCCAGAUUCUACGGCUCUGCAAAUUCCAGCAAAAGAAAACCAAGAUUGCUCAGUUUCUAGAGUCUGUAGCCAGCAUGUUUGCAGUCGCUCAGCAUUUCUCACAAAACAUUAGUCCAGAAACUGCACAGCUUCUCCUGAUAGUCUCUGAUGGGCGAGGCCUUUUUCUGGAAGGGAAAGAAAGAGUCCUGGCAGCAGUUCAGGCUGCCCGGAAUGCCAAUAUCUUUGUCAUUUUUGUUGUUUUGGACAGUCCCAGUUCACGGGAUUCCAUCUUGGACAUUAAAGUACCAAUAUUCAAAGGACCUGGAGAGAUGCCUGAAAUCCGAUCCUACAUGGAAGAAUUCCCAUUCCCAUUCUAUAUCAUUCUUCGAGAUGUGAAUGCACUUCCUGAGACACUCAGCGAUGCCCUCAGACAGUGGUUUGAGUUAGUGACGGCCUCUGACCACCCGUAACACAGGAAGAGCCGUCCAAAGUGAGACUAUUUGAACCACAGUCAGAAAGUGACAUCUUACCCAGGUGUUCCCUACUCCUUUUUGGACAACUGUUUCUGAACGUGCCACUCGCAUAGCUCAGAGAGAGUUUUCAGGCUCUUGCUUUGCCUGGGCUCAAGUACCUUGUUUUGAAAUCUGGGGAGAAAUCCUAACUGGGGAGCCUGAUGCCCUCCUCUAGGAACCCAGCCACAUUCAGUCCCCUUUUGGUAGAGAGGGGUCAUACAGUGGGGAUUGGACCCAGAGUCUCAUUAAGUUGCUCAGGCUGGCCUCAAAUUUAUGAUUCUUCUGAGUACCUGGGAUUACAGGUGUGUGUCACCACAGCUGACUGUUGGACACAUUCCUUAAGCGAAUGGACUGUGCCAGUUCUUUGGACAAAGGAAUAAAGAGCUGCCUUUUGGACUCUACUUUAAGCUCUGCCACAGCAAGCUCAUGAUACGAACCCAAAAGCUAUCCUAUGGCUGAGAUACCUACAGUUUUCUGGAGAGCAUGAUUUUAUAUUUUCUUAUUGUGAAAAGAGUAUUCUCUCCAAGGGUAGGAAGCUUAUGGUGUACGUGUUCUCAUGUUUAGCAUGAUGUUAUGGGAGCCCAAGUAAUCAACAAAGAUCCUUGGGAUUUGAAAAUAAAGAAGUGGCUUUUCAGUGUUCUCCAUUCACAUUUGCUGCUCCGGGAGACUAUGCAAUGAUAGAAAGAUGAUUUUUCCUUUGUUUCACACUUUCAGUGCCAUAGUCCCUGUUAUAGUAAUUUAUUUCUUUAGUUCUCCCCUCCCCCCUUAAUAAUUAAGGGGAAGAGCCGGGGAUUUAGCUCUGGUUCCACCGCCUGCCUUGCAAGUACAAGGACCCGAGUUUGAUCCCUGGUACAAAAAAAAAAAAAAAAAAUUAAGGGGAAGAAUCAUUCCUCAGUGCUUUCAAGCUAGACUGAGCCAGUCUCAUUCUGGAAAACAAAUGCUGUGUCCACAAGAACUAAGCCCCUACAUUUAUUUUUCUUUUUCUCCCAGUCAGAACACAUCAGUGGUUUUAAGGCACUUUUUCCUUGGCCAAAAAGCAGUGCUUGAAUACUUGAAACUGUGCUGUGUUCUAUUUAAUGUUCUGUCAGAAUGUUCUUUUGUAGACAGUAUGCCAUGAUGUAGUCAUCUUAUCUCCUUAUCCCCAUGUCUCUCCAGGUUACAAUGUGAAGUCCUUAUACGGUGGCCAUUAGACACAGCUUGCUUGUUUAACCAAGUGUCCUAAAGCAUGUACCUGAAGUUAUAUCAUUGUUAUUUUUUAUUCUAAAAAAAAUCUAUGCAGUUUAUAUUCUGAAAACUAUUAAAAGAUUUACCACUGUUGAGGUCAUUUGUGAUCAUUCUUUUUUUUUUUGGUACGGGGGAUCAAACUCGGGUCCUUGCGCUUGCACAGCAGGCGGUGAAACGAUCAUUCUUAAUAGAAUAAGACAAAGGAUUUUAACAGGUGUCCUAGGGGAUUGAUUUACGUACUUGACCAGCAGACCAUUCAGUUUAUUCCAAGCUGGUAUGACCCAGCAACUUCAAAAACUUAGUACAGUAAGACUUUCUCACAUAUUAAUGCCUGUGGUGGGUGAGCUGCUCCAUGCUGGCGAGUUAGCAGAUCUACAUGGAGGCUCAUUAUGAUCCUGCUCCAUACCGACCUCUCUCACACUCAAAUUUCAUUGGCCCAAGCUAUCUCUGGGGCAAAAAAGUUAAUCCUCCAGCAGAGUUGGGUUUGAUAGAGAAAGCAACACUGACAGUUUUGUAAUCUAUUACAUUUAUCUUUAAUGGGCAGGUCUAUAUAUAAGGUGGGUCUUCCCAACUGGGGUGCCUAAAGUGAUUCCCAUGGCUCUUGGGAUUUGGGAAAUUAGGAAUUCUGGUGAGCACCUAACCAAGAGAGCCACUUCCAACCUGGGAAUAGGGAGUGUGUCACAGGAGCUGAUGCCCAGUUCUGACGUUUAAGGAAUGGGCAUCAGGACACAAAAUACUUUGCAUGC
rnacentral:lncRNA from 1 species